CGCGGGGAGGAGAGGGCGCGAGGGGGCGGUUGGUCUCCGUCUUGCACCGAUCGACUUCCAUCCGUGCUGGAGAGCAUUUAUAAAGUCAACGAAUCAGUGGAGCGUGAGGAAGAGCUGCGCUGUGAUCUAUCGGUGACGUACACAGUGCCGGCCUGACGAGGGGGUGGAAGAUUGCAACCUUCACGUGGUCCGCCCUGUUUCGACUAAUGCGAUCUACUCAACGUGCACAAACGGAAGAUCAAAUAGAACAAGUUGUCCAACAACAUUAGGCUGUGCACGCCACACGAAACAAGAAGAUAUGUAUCAGACAUACAGAAUGUUGCAAGGUAAUAUCUUGCCCAAACUCAGUUGUAUCUUUCUAUCUCAAUAAAUAUCACAAAAUAUG